UUUUAACAAUUCACGUGGCCCUUUUCAUUUAUACUGGAUCAAAAUUUACAAAAUUAAUAUUUAACGUCAUGACAAAUUAUUAUGUAUAAUUAUAACAUUAUUAUAAUUAUACAUGAAAUAAAAAAAUGAAAACCAUAUAAUUUUAACGAUAGCACAUGUAGAGUAUCCAACAUCAUAAAUUCAAUCAAAUUAUCAAAACCUCUUACUAAUAGUAAUUAAAAAUUUAACACAUAUAUGAUUACAGAAAAAUACAAAUAUCAUUACAAAAAAAAUAUGAGACAGAAAAUUAAUAUUUUACAAUAAAAUAAAACAAAAAAUAU
rnacentral:lncRNA from 1 species